AUUAAUGGAGGAUGUUGGUAAUGAAGUCAUUUAUAUAAAUACCCCCAUUGUAAAUUGUUAAGUUGAGAUAAUUCUCAGCAUGUCUUGAGUCAUCUACACCAAAUUACGAUCAAGUUAUCAGUAAAAAGUAUAAAAUAUUUACUAAUUUCGAAAUGGAACUCUGAAUUUUGUAGUAUCUAACACUAAACAUAUCAAGCAUUAUGAUACACAACUCAUUAAAUGG
rnacentral:lncRNA from 1 species